CAGGUAAUGGAGCAAGUGUCAUUAGAAGUGACAAUUGAUUACUCUUCCAAUCCACAGGAUACUCUGUCUCUGUUGGUUUAAUCAUUGCUGCAGUAAUAGUGCCUUGCUUGAUCCUUUUGCUGUGCCUUGCACUGUGGUUUUGGAAGCGCUGGUCAUAUGAUGAUAUUCCAUGAGCUCCCAACAUUUCUUCUCUCGCGUUUGGAAUAAGUACCAAGACGCCGAGAAACCUGUAGACUCAAGAGAUAGUUUUGUUAUGUCAAUAAUUAUUGUUUUGGCAGGAAAACAUGUGCUUCAUAUCAUUUCUUCUGUUAAUGUGUGUUACAAUGACUGAUUGCUCAUUUGGCAAAACAACUCUAUAUGUUUUCAUCUUUUCUGCUUGUUGAGAAUGUAUGCAUUUGGAUUUACUUUGAGAAUAUUUGGUUCUAGUUUUUCAUCUACCUGUAUGUGUUUCUAGCCUUAUCCUUGUUAGGUAUUGGUAUGAAUGACUUUUUGACUUCAUAAGGUGAGUUGAGAUUUGUUUCCUGUCUUGUUACUCUCCAAAGUAUGGGGCAGCAUGACUGUGUUUGUGAAGAAUUGGAUGAGUUCACUUGUUUAGCCUUUUAUGUUGGGAAAUAUUUUGUCAGGAAAGUUAAAUUUUAUGGUCAGAUUUUUUUCUCAUUAAAUUUCUGGGCUUUAUUUCUUGUUUAAUAUCAUCAUUACAUAUUACACAAAAUUAAAAGAACAAUAUAUUUGGUAUUUAUAAAUUAUUAAAUAAAAAUACAGGAAUAUA